rnacentral:rRNA from 1 species
UACGUAGGCAGCGAGCGUUGUUCGGAGUUACUGGGCGUAAAGAGUGCGUAGGCGGUUUUCUAAGUUUGGUGUGAAAUCUCCCGGCUUAACUGGGAGGGUGCGCCGAAAACUGGAAGGCUUGAGUAUGGGAGAGGUAAGCGGAAUUCCUGGUGUAGCGGUGAAAUGCGUAGAUAUCAGGAGGAACACCUGCGGUGUAGACGGCUUACUGGACCAUAACUGACACUGAGGAGCGAAAGCGUGGGUAGCAAACAGG